rnacentral:ncRNA from 1 species
UAAUCGGGACGACCCGAUUACGCAUCAGUUAUCUGGGGACGACCCCA